rnacentral:lncRNA from 1 species
CGGCUUAGGCGGCCGACUAGGCGGCGCCUAAGCGGUAGUCGUCAGGUCACCGUUCGGAUUUCUAUCUAGGCGAUAGCUUUGGGCGGUGGGCUCCUCGGCGGCCGCCUAGGCGGUUUAGGCGGUCUAGUCGGAGCCGCCUGGGAGCUGGGCGUCAAGGGCUGGAACUUUUUUUUUUUUUCCUGAUCAUCUUCAAAACACAAAACGUAGAAGAUCGAAGCGGUUUCUCAUUCUCAGACCUCUGAAACCUCUCUAAACUGACCUCUGAGAAUCCAGACCUCUCAAAAAUGAAAACCCAGUCUUACUCGAUGUCGACGGUAGCGGCACGACGGCAGUGAAAAUGAAACCAAAAGAGGGAUUCAUUAUAGAUUGAAAAUUACCAUAUCUAAAUUGAAAGGAAAACGAAAAGGCACGACGAGAUUAUUUGAAAGGGUAAACAAGAGAAGGAUUCUGGGUUUGGCUACCAUUGAAUUGAAAUGGCCUUACUUUCUCUCUCUAUUCGUAUCAGAGGCGGAAGAGGAUAAGAAACCCG